rnacentral:rRNA from 1 species
AAACUGGAGAGUUUGAUCCUGGCUCAGGACGAACGCUGGCGGCGUGCCUAACACAUGCAAGUCGAACGAGAAAGUCCCUUCGGGGGCGAGUACAGUGGCGCACGGGUGAG